rnacentral:rRNA from 1 species
GAGUUUGAUCCUGGCUCAGAUUGAACGCUGGCGGCAUGCCUUACACAUGCAAGUCGAACGGCAGCAUGAUCUAGCUUGCUAGAUUGAUGGCGAGUGGCGAACGGGUGAGUAAUACAUCGGAACGUGCCCUGUAGUGGGGGAUAACUAGUCGAAAGAUUAGCUAAUACCGCAUACGACCUGAGGGUGAAAGUGGGGGACCGCAAGGCCUCAUGCUAUAGGAGCGGCCGAUGUCCGAUUAGCUAGUUGGUGGGGUAAAGGCCCACCAAGGCGACGAUCAGUAGCUGGUCUGAGAGGACGAUCAGCCACACUGGGACUGAGACACGGCCCAGACUCCUACGGGAGGCAGCAGUGGGGAAUUUUGGACAAUGGGCGAAAGCCUGAUCCAGCAAUGCCGCGUGUGUGAAGAAGGCCUUCGGUUGUAAGUC